CGGUAUGUAGAAAUACGGGGCCAUANACCCCUGAUAAGGGUGAGGUCGGCAGUUCGAAUCUGCCCAGACCCACCA
rnacentral:tRNA from 1 species